CAUCACUCCCCAAGACCCAGCGAGAAGCCCCGGCGGGGCGGGGCGGGGCCUGGACACGCGCCGGCACGCCCAGCAGGUGGCAGCAGCGAGCUCGUGGAUGGCGAGCGCUCCUAUUUCGCUUUGCUCGCCUCGGAAUUCGAGACCCCAGACGAGGACCAGGAUUCAUGAACCGGUCGCAGGGGCCCGGGCAGGGGCCUCUGGCUCCCAACGCUGGCCGAGAGAUGGAGAAACUGAGGCACAGAAAGAUGAAGUACUUGCCAGAGGCACACAGCUAGGCUGUUGUAGGGCAGGACGCAAGAAGGGCUUCUCUGUGUAAACCAGGGUACAGGGCGGGGUUUAGGGUGGGGAAGGUGUCAGUUGCCCUGUCGCUUAUCCGACUCCCCCACAGCUGAGAUGACUCUGUUUAAAAACCUCUGAUAGGAAAACCAGAAGAUAAACUGAAUCGCUGAAGGUCAAAGUAGGAUAAAAGGUGACAAAGAUAAAUGUUUUAAUACAUAUUUAGCUUUAAAGAAAGAAGCGGGGACCGGCUCCGUGGCCGAGUGGUUAAGUUCGCGCGCUCUGCUGCGGCGGCCCAGGGUUCGGAUCCUGGGCACGGACCUGGCACCGCUCGUCAGGCCACAAUGAGACGGCGUCCCACAUCCCACAACUAGAAGGACAUGCAACUAAGAUAUACAACUGUGUACAGGGGGGGUUUGGAGAGAUAAAGCAGAAAAAAAGAAAAGAAAAGAAAGAAAGAAGGGAAAUUCCUGGUGAAACAAGCACAGAAAUCAAAGCCCUGUGGGUAAGGGGGAGCGGAGGUCCUGGGGACCCUGGGGUUCUAAGCCAGAACAUCAGCCCUUGGAGCUGGGCUGGCGUUCUAAUGCCCACCUCUCUUACUAGAGGUAACCUUGGGCUUACUAGAGGUAACCUUGGGCCUGUGUGAAGCCGGGAAGCUGGAAAUUUGCUCCCUGCAUAAAGCUUGAAGUCUGGAAGUGUCACUAUUCUAUCCACAAAGAAUUAGAAAACUUCCUUUCACCUUCCAAGGACACCCUGAAGAAGCUAUGCCUCUGUCUGAGGCCUUUUGUGGAAAAUCAGCCACUCAGCCCUGUGCCUUGAGAAGGUGCAGGAUCCGAAUUUACCCCUCACUCUGCAGGAAUCCCAGCAGGGGAGUAAGUGACAGCCACUUGCCCCGGGAUGUUAAUUCUCAAGGAAGACAAGAGGAACAAUUGCAAAAACUAUUCUACUGGGAUAUUUUCACAGAGUAGGGUUCAUGAGAAGCCCUUUUUUUUUUAAUGCUGAAAAGUAGUUCAGCGUAGUUCAUAGUUAAAGAGAUACAAAUCACAAAGGGAAAUUAACUGCAGAGAUGGAAAACCAGCAGAUGCAACCAGCCAGUGAAUUAGCAUUGCAAGAGUGGGAAAUGAAAGAACUGGAAAUGAAAGAGAACCAGAAUAAGCAAGUUUAAGUAAUUUAAAGGAUUUUAAAAAUUAGGAACCAUAAUGAAAAAAUAGAGCAUUAUGGAAAAGGAAACAGACAAAUUUGAUAAAUAACCAAUUACAACUCAUAGAAACAAAACACAAAGUGGCCACAGUUAAGGACUCACUGGGUAGGUUAAAUGAAAGAUUGAGCAGAGGAAAAAUUAGUGAACCUGAACGCAGAUCUGCAGAAAUCACCCAGAAUGUAGCAUGGAGAAACAAGGUGGAAACUGAGAAAGAAUUAACCAAGCAAGACGGAAGGUAGAAUGAGAUGCCCAACAUAAUCUCCUAGAACUUCCAGAAGGAAAGUCAGUUUUCACAGGGAAAAUGAGAAUAUUCCAGAAUUGAGGACAUGAAUCUUCAGAUUGAAAAAGCACACCAAGUUCUGAAGAGCGUAAAUAAAAAUCACAGAUUUUUUAAAACAUAAUUUCUAUUUCUUCAAAUGUUGUAUCUGCCCAGGUUUUUCUCCCAAUCCUUUCUGGGUUUAAUUUCCAUUUCAUCUAAAUUGUUCGAUUUUAUCGAAAAAAAGAAUUAAAUAAAAAUAUAAGAACCUAAAUUAACAAAAAAGAAUGUAGAAAGAAGGAAAUAACAAUGAUGAAUGAUAAAAUUAAUGAACUAUUUCUGUGCCUUAAGAGCUCGGUUUCAAGCUGCCGCUGGUGCUGUAGAAUUGGUUCCUGAUGCUGGGCUCUCGUUGCUUCCGUGACGAACAGGCUGCUUUCCUGUGUGGGGCGACUUCACUCUCAGUACACUGCUGUGUGGUCAGGAAAGCCUUCCAGUGGAGAUACACAAGCACAGGGAGGGACCCUGUAGGAAGAGGGUGGAGACCAGCAAAUGCAGGACCGUCCUCAGAACCCUGAUACAGAAUGAACACGGACGAAGAGUGACACCCAGUGGCCAGACGCCCACAUAGCACUCAGAGGUGAUUCCUGGGGCUGCACAUGCUGGCUGCUGCUUGUGGCCAGGUUGCCGGAGGGGUUCUCUGACUGCUGUGUUUUGGGGAUGUCUGUAAAGUAGAGAGUGCUUUGGGGGCUGUUCAAUGAGCCAUCUCCCCUCUCCUCUCCUUCUCCCACCUCUCCCUGUCUCCUGCCUCACUUUCCCCUCCCUUACCGAAUGUGCACUCUCUGAUGCACUGGGUCCCACAGGUGACCAGGUGUGGGCCGACAGAGGACCCUGUGGGAAUAAGGAGAAGCUCUCAUGCCACCACUGCAAUACAGGAGACACUGUUCUUCAGGGUAACGGUGUUUCCCCUGCAACUGAGCCAGCUAAAAUGUGCUGAUCAGAUUAAUUUAGUGGAACUGAGUUAUUGAAAUUCAGGGAGAGGGUAUAAGAUGCUGAAGUGCCAGUGUAGACAAUCCAUUCCAUCACAAAAAGGCCCCAGUGAAACUAGACAUGGUUAGGUCAGCCUCACUUCUGCAAACAAAACUGCAAGCAUGUUUCUAAACGCUCUAGCAACAGCCAACAUGGAGAUUAUGCUAAGG
rnacentral:lncRNA from 1 species